rnacentral:tRNA from 1 species
GGCGCAGUAACUCAGGGGCAAGAGUAUCCGCCUGUCUAGCGGAGAGUCGUGGGUUCGAAUCCCAUCUGCGCUGCCA